GAUGAACGCUGGCGGCGUGCCUAAUACAUGCAAGUCGAGCGAACAGACGAGGAGCUUGCUCCUCUGACGUUAGCGGCGGACGGGUGAGUAACACGUGGAUAACCUACCUAUAAGACUGGGAUAACUUCGGGAAACCGGAGCUAAUACCGGAUAAUAUAUUGAACCGCAUGGUUCAAUAGUGAAAGACGGUUUUGCUGUCACUUAUAGAUGGAUCCGCGCCGCAUUAGCUAGUUGGUAAGGUCACGGCUUACCAAGGCGACGAUGCGUAACCGACCUGAGGGGGUGAUCGGCCACACUGGAACGGAGACACGGUCCAGACUCCUACGGGAGGCAGCAGUAGGGAAUCUUCCGCAAUGGGCGAAAGCCUGACGGAGCAACGCCGCGUGAGUGAUGAAGGUCUUCGGAUCGUAAAACUCUGUUAUUAGGGAAGAACAAAUGUGUAAGUAACUAUGCACGUCUUGACGGUACCUAAUCAGAAAGCCACGGCUAACUACGUG
rnacentral:rRNA from 1 species